ACAACCGUAGUGCAGUGGCUAGCGCAGCAAUCCAAUACCCUUGAGGUCUUGGGUUCAAAUCCCCACGUCUGCA
rnacentral:tRNA from 1 species